GAUGAACGCUGGCGGCGUGCCUAAUACAUGCAAGUCGAGCGAACAGACGAGGAGCUUGCUCCUCUGACGUUAGCGGCGGACGGGUGAGUAACACGUGGAUAACCUACCUAUAAGACUGGGAUAACUUCGGGAAACCGGAGCUAAUACCGGAUAAUAUAUUGAACCGCAUGGUUCAAUAGUGAAAGACGGUUUUGCUGUCACUUAUAGAUGGAUCCGCGCCGCAUUAGCUAGUUGGUAAGGUAACGGCUUACCAAGGCAACGAUGCGUAGCCGACCUGAGAGGGUGAUCGACCACACUGGAACUGAGACACGGUCAAGACUCCUACGGGAGGCAGCAGUAGGGAAUCUUCCGCAAUGGGCGAAAGCUUGACGGAGCAACGCCGAGUGAGUGAUGAAGGUCUUCGGAUCGUAAAACUCUGUUAUUAGGGAAGAACAAAUGUGUAAGUAACUAUGCACGUCUUGACGGUACCUAAUCAGAAAGCCACGGCUAACUACGUG
rnacentral:rRNA from 1 species